rnacentral:misc_RNA from 1 species
GAAAUGCGAUAAGUAAUGUGAAUUGCAGAAUUCAGUGAAUCAUCGAAUCUUUGAACGCACCUUGCGCUCCUUGGUAUUCCUUGGAGCAUGCCUGUUUGAGUAUCAUGAAAUCUUCAAAGUAAAUCUUUUGUUAACUCAAUUGGUUUCUACUUUGGUAUUGGAGGUCUUGGCAGCUUCACACCUGCUCCUCUUUGUUCAUUAGCUGGAUCUCAGUGUUAUGCUUGGUUCCACUCGGCGUGAUAAGUUAUCUAUCGCUGAGGACACUGUAAAAGGUGGCCAAGGUAAAUGCAGAUGAACCGCUUCUAAUAGUCCAUUGACUUGGACAAUACUUUUAUGAUCUGAUCUCAAAUCAGGUAGGACUACCCGCUGAACUUAAGA